rnacentral:rRNA from 1 species
GACGAACGCUGGCGGCGUGCUUAACACAUGCAAGUCGAACGGAAAGGCCCUGCUUUUGUGGGGUGCUCGAGUGGCGAACGGGUGAGUAACACGUGAGUAACCUGCCCUUGACUUUGGGAUAACUUCAGGAAACUGGGGCUAAUACCGGAUAGGAGCUCCUGCUGCAUGGUGGUGGUUGGAAAGUUUCGGCGGUUGGGGAUGGACUCGCGGCUUAUCAGCUUGUUGGUGGGGUAGUGGCUUACCAAGGCUUUGACGGGGAGCCGGCCUGGGAGGGGUACCGGACACAUUGGGACUGAGAUACGGCACAGACUCCUACGGGAGGCAACAGUGGGGAAUAUUGCACAAUGGGCGGAAGCCUGAUGCAGCAACGCCGCGUGCGGGAUAACGGCCUUCGGGUUGUAAACCGCUUUCGCCUGUGACGAGGCGUGAGUGACGGUAAUGUGUAAAGAAGCACCGGCUAACUACGUG